ensembl:lncRNA
CGAAAUGUAUGAGAAGAUGGCGAACGUCAAGGCAGCAGGAGCUAACGUUAGCGCUCCACCAAGAAAAAAAAAACACUUUAGAAAGUUCUGAUGACGAAACAGACAUUGAGAUGAAGCGACAAUAUGAAAAAGCAAAAAGACAAAAAAAGGUUGGAAAGGAGAGGGUCCUCACUCAGCUGAAGGAUACACUGAGAAAACCACUCCACUCUGAUCCACGCAGAACCAACCCGUUACAUAGUGAGGAGGAAGUUCAAGCCGAAACCGUGGACACAAAUGUGGAUUUGUUCGAUUACCCAGAGAAUUUUCAACCAACCGAUACCUUAGAUGCUGCUGAGGCAAGUGGAGAGAGCGUGGAACAGCCAUUAUUUGUCAGUGGUGAAGUGUUGAAAGCUUUGAAAGAAAUUCCCACCUUAGUGCAGUGUGUCAAGGAACUAAUAUCCUCAAUGAACAGAGGGAUCGAUACAGCAAGCACAAGCUCAGGGUCCUCCAGCUCAGCCCAAGAGAUGACACUGUCAUAUCUGAGUUUCCGGGCACGUCACAGUCCGAGGUUAGAGCCGUAAUACGGCGAAAGUGCAAUAACGAAAGUUUUGUUUCAAAAAAAAAAAAAACACUGUAAAGGUAAUUUUUUGUUGUUGUUGGGAAAGGAAUGUGAAAGUAAAGAAGAAAUUUGUGUUUUGUUCAUAUAAGAUACGUACAGUAAUCUGUAGUUUAAUCAUUUUAUUAAAGGGUUAGUUCACCCAAAAAUCGAAAAGUUCUUUGUAUUUAGUCACCCAGCGUGUUGUUCUAAACCCUUAAGACUUCCAUUAACCAUCGCAUCACAAAAUAUUAUAUUUAUGAUGUAAUCUGAGCGCUGGAUAAGUCUUCCAUUGACUUCCAAGGGGCUUAAACUUGCUCGAUCAGAAAUCGUAUUAAGACAUUGUUUGAAAUUGUCUAAGUGACUCCAGUGGCUCAACCAUCCAUUUAUCAAGCGAC